AUUUUAUUCUGUAUUAUUACUGCAAUACCUGUUUCUCGCCACUAGUCACCUCAGUCACUCUUACCCGCUUAGCAUGAUAAUCCAAAUCUGCUACAAAAGGCUACACUCAUCACAUAGCUUUUACAUUGAGAGAAGUUGUGUUCUGAACCUGACAAGUCUUCUGCUCCUGGCUCUUUCUAAUGAAAACCUGCUCUAAUCUUACUUACCUUCAACCAACCUGAUUUAUUCCAACCCGAUCUCCAAAAUGAACCAACUUUAUUUCUAUACUGGACUUUGUUUUCAUAUUGAUUUGGUUGCAACCUACCUGGAUAUUACAGACUUUCUUAUUAUUUGCAAGUAUCCUCAAAGACCCUGAAACUACAGUUCUGAUUUCUAACCAAAGAGGCUGAUAACCUCAAUUGCUACUUUAAUCUGUUUUACUUUAUCCUUUAUGUUCCUGUUUAGUUUUAUCUGAUUAUAUACCUGAUAAAUGCUCAGAGCAUAUUACCUAAACCUUCACUUCUGUUCCUUCUAUUAACUCGAACCUAUAAUUUCUCUUAUAGGUUUUCCUGUUUCUUUAUAU